UACGAGGGGUGCAAGCGUUGCUCGGAAUUAUUGGGCGUAAAGGGUAGGUAGGUGGUCUCAUUUGUCUGGGGUGAAAGCCUUGAGCUUAACUCGAGAAGUGCCCCGGAAACGGUGAGACUGGAGUCCUGGAGAGGGUCGUGGAAUUCCCGGUGUAGCGGUGAAAUGCGUAGAGAUCGGGAGGAACACCAGUGGCGAAGGCGGUUGCCUGGGGCUUUGCUGACGCUGAUGCGCGAAAGCGUGGGGAGCGAUCCGG
rnacentral:rRNA from 1 species